rnacentral:misc_RNA from 1 species
AAGUCGUAACAAGGUUUCCGUAGGUGAACCUGCGGAAGGAUCAUUAAAAAAUCAAUAUAGAAGCCGCAAGGUUUCUAAUGAGCCGCAAGGCUCUAAUAUUUUGUGAACUGUGUUGUAUGUUUGUGUUGUAUGUCGAUGGAUGGUGAUAUCGCGGUAUCAUCGUCGAUGUGCAUAUGACAGCACAUACUACAAACUUGAUAAAUAUAUAUGACUUUGAUGUUGAGGAAAAGUAUUAUAUCAAUAUAUAUACAACUUUCAACAGUGGAUCUCUCGGCUCUU